UACGUAGGGGGCAAGCGUUGUCCGGAAUUAUUGGGCGUAAAGAGCUCGUAGGCGGUUUGGUAAGUUGGAUGUGAAAUCUCCAGGCUCAACUUGGAGGGGUCAUUCGAUACUGCCAUGACUAGAGUUCGGUAGGGGAGUGUGGAAUUCCUGGUGGAGCGGUGAAAUGCGCAGAUAUCAGGAGGAACACCCGUAGCGAAGGCGGCACUCUGGGCCGGAACUGACGCUGAGGAGCGAAAGCGUGGGGAGCGAACAGG
rnacentral:rRNA from 1 species